rnacentral:sRNA from 1 species
GCCGGGUGUGGUAGUGUGCACCUGUAAUCCCAGCUACUCAGGAGGCUGAGGCAGGAGAAUCACUUGAACCUGGGAGGCAGAGGUUGCAGUGAGCUGAGAUCACACCAUUGCCCUCCAGCCUGGGUGACAAAGUGAGAUUCUGUCUCAA